rnacentral:rRNA from 1 species
GGACCCGCACAAGUAGUGGAGCAUGUGGUUUAAUUCGAAGAUACGCGCAGAACCUUACCAACACUUGACAUGUUCGUCGCGACUUUAAGAGAUUAAAGUUUUCGGUUCGGCCGGACGAAAACACAGGUGCUGCAUGGCUGUCGUCAGCUCGUGUCGUGAGAUGUUGGGUUAAGUCCCGCAACGAGCGCAACCCUCACUUUUAGUUGCCAUCAUUAAGUUGGGCACUCUGAAAAGAACUGCCAGUGAUAAGCUGGAGGAAGGUGGGGAUGACGUCAAGUCCUCAUGGCCCUUACGUGUUGGGCUACACACGUGCUACAAUGGUAUCUACAACAGGAAGCAAGACUGCGAGGUC